UGGUGCUGAGGCAGAAACGGUCUAAACUGAUGACACCAGGCCCACUUACUUGGAACACUGUCAAAGCUUCCAUGUCUCCAAAAAGGUGGAAUCCCCCCAAUAUCCUAACAUUUGUCCACAGCAUGUGAAUCAUUUACAGGAAUGUCACGUAUUUGAUACUCUGCUUAGCGGCACCUGUGAA